GGAGGAUGCAGGAAGAGGGUGAGUUUAGGUUCUGGAGACAGAACUGCCGGAGGAGGCAGGAAGAGGGUGAGUUUAGGUUCUGGAGACAGGAAGAGGGUGAGUUUUGGUUCUGGAUACAACAGAACUACCGGAGGAUGCAGGAAGAGGGUGAGUUUAGGUUCUGGAGACAGGAAGAGGGUGAGUUUAGGUUCUGGAGACAGGAAGAGGGUGAGUUUUGGUUCUGGAUACAACAGAACUACCGGAGGAUGCAGGAAGAGGGUGAGUUUAGGUUCUGGAGACAGAACUGCCGGAGGAGGCAGGAAGAGGGUGAGUUUAGGUUCUGGAGACAGGAAGAGGGUGAGUUUAGGUUCUGGAGACA